rnacentral:misc_RNA from 1 species
GAUGAAGAACGUAGCGAAAUGCGAUAAGUAAUGUGAAUUGCAGAAUUCAGUGAAUCAUCGAAUCUUUGAACGCACAUUGCGCCCGCCAGUAUUCUGGUGGGCAUGCCUGUUCGAGCGUCAUUUCAACCCUCAAGCCCAGCUUGGUGUUGGGGAUCGGCACAGGCGCCCUCGGGCGCCCGCCGUCCCCUAAAUCUAGUGGCGGUCCCGCUGCAGCCUCCUCUGCGUAGUAGUUUUCUCCUCGCAAGGGCAGCUCGGUGGCGACCUCGCCGUAAAACCCCCAACUUCUGAAAGGUUGACCUCGAAUCAGGUAGGAAUACCCGCUGAACUUAAGCAUAUCAAUAAGCGGAGGA